CAGCCUACGGGCCGCAGCAGUGGGGAAUAUUGCACAAUGGGGGAAACCCUGACGCAGCGACGCCGCGUGAGCGAUGAAGUAUUUCGGUAUGUAAAGCUCUAUCAGCAGGGAAGAAAAUGACGGUACCUGACUAAGGAGCCCCGGCUAACUACGUGCCAGCAGCCGCGGUAAUACGUAGGGGGCAAGCGUUAUCCGGAUUUACUGGGUGUAAAGGGAGCGUAGACGGGCCUGCAAGCCAGAUGUG
rnacentral:rRNA from 1 species